rnacentral:rRNA from 1 species
UUGUUGGUAAGGUAAAAGCUUACCAAGGCUUCGAUCAGUAGCUGGUCUGAGAGGACGACCAGCCACACUGGGACUGAGACACGGCCCAGACUCCUACGGGAGGCAGCAGUGGGGAAUUUUGGACAAUGGGGGCAACCCUGAUCCAGCCAUGCCGCGUGAGUGAAGAAGGCCUUCGGGUUGUAAAGCUCUUUCAGCCGGAACGAAACGGUUACGGAUAACACCCGUGACUACUGACGGUACCGGAAGAAGAAGCACCGGCUAACUACGUGCCAGCAGCCGCGGUAAUACGUAGGGUGCGAGCGUUAAUCGGAAUUACUGGGCGUAAAGCGUGCGCAGGUGGUUUUGUAAGUCAGAUGUGAAAGCCCCGGGCUCAACCUGGGAACUGCGUUUGAAACUACAAGACUAGAGUGUGGCAGAGGGGGGUGGAAUUCCGCGUGUAGCAGUGAAAUGCGUAGAGAUGUGGAGGAACACCGAUGGCGAAGGCAGCCCCCUGGGUCAACACUGACGCUCAGGCACGAAAGCAUGGGGAGCAAACAGGAUUAGAUACCCUGGUAGUCCAUGCCCUAAACGAUGUCAACUAGUUGUCGGGCCUUUACGGGCUUGGUAACGUAGCUAACGCGUGAAGUUGACCGCCUGGGGAGUACGAUCGCAAGAUUAAAACUCAAAUGAAUUGACGGGGACCCGCACAAGCGGUGGAUUAUGUGGAUUAAUUCGAUGCAACGCGAAAAACCUUACCUACCCUUGACAUGUAUCGAAGCCCGCAGAAAAGCGGGGGUGCCCGAAAGGGAACGAUAACACAGGUGCUGCAUGGCUGUCGUCAGCUCGUGUCGUGAGAUGUUGGGUUAAGUCCCGCAACGAGCGCAACCCUUGUCAUUAAUUGCCAUCAUUUAGUUGGGCACUUUAAUGAGGCUGCCGG